UCCCUAUGUGUCCCUACGUGUCCCUAUGGGUCCCUAUGGGUCCCUAUGGGUCGCUAUGGGUCGCUAUGGGUCGCUAUGGGUCCCCAUGUGUCGGUGUGUGUCCCCCCGGUGGCUGUGUGUCUCUAUGUGUCCCUAUGUGUCCCUAUGGGUCCCUACGUGUCCCUGUGUGUCUCUAUGUGUCCCUAUGUGUCCCUAUGUGUCCCUAUGGGUCUCUAUGUGUCCCUAUGUGUCCCUCUGUGUCCCUAUGGGUCUCUAUGGGUCUCUAUGUGUUUCUAUGGGUCUCUAUGUGUCUCUAUGGGGUCUCUAUGGG
ensembl:lncRNA